rnacentral:tRNA from 1 species
GGGGUUGUAGCUCAGUGGUAGAGUGCUUACCUCUCAUGUGAGAAGCACUGGGUUCAAUUCUCAGCACCA